GUGGGCUAAUACCGGAUAUGAGCACUCAUCGCAUGGUGGGUGUUGGAAAGAUUUAUCGGUGGGGGAUGGACUCGCGGCCUAUCAGUUUGUUGGUGAGGUGAUGGCUCACCAAGACGAUGACGGGUAGCCGGCCUGAGAGGGCGACCGGCCACACUGGGACUGAGACACGGCCCAGACUCCUACGGGAGGCAGCAGUGGGGAAUAUUGCACAAUGGGCGAAAGCCUGAUGCAGCGACGCCGCGUGGGGGAUGACGGCCUUCGGGUUGUAAACCCCUUUCAGUAGGGAAGAAGCGAAAGAGACGGGACCUGCAGAAGAAGCGCCGGCUAACUACGUGCCAGCAGCCGCGGUAAUACGUAGGGCGCAAGCGUUGUCCGGAAUUAUUGGGCGUAAAGAGCUUGUAGGUGGCUUGUCUGCGUCUGCCGUGAAAACCCGAGGCUCAACCUCGGGCGUGCGGUGGGUGCGGGCAGGCUAGAGUGUGGUAGGGGAGACUGGAACUCCUGGUGUAGCGGUGAAAUGCGCAGAUAUCAAGAAGAACACGAUGGCGAAGGCAGGUCUCUGGGCCAUUACUGAC
rnacentral:rRNA from 1 species